GCGUUACACGCAAAUCAGUAUGCAUAACAGUCGUAGUAUGAUGCCGUAGUAUGGAGUAGUUCGACUUGUGUCAUUGGCUACUAAACACCCACCUGCUAUAAUAGCCUCGUUUUCAUUGGUUCGUUAGAUAACUUAUAUUUGGGCGCGCUUAGACACAUAGGGGCACAUUAGGUCCAUUAUUCGGAUGGACGAAGGAUGUCUUGUUCAUCGAUCCAAGUAUUCGAAACUCCAUUGAGUUUAAGUACGAAAAUAAGUCUUGAAAGACAAGAAAAUCUGAUGAUGAGCUAACCUUGGUGCAAUGUGAACCUGUGGAUGAGCAGUUCGCAAGUGGGAAUUAUGGUGAUGAGGAAUUUACACUGCUAUACCUGUCCCAGCUUCAUCAUGUGCGGAAGAAUUUUCAAGGUUGGCAAAACAUUUUCUGGGUUCGGACCGUUUUAUGUGUUAUCUUUGGCAAUGGGAUAUUGUGAAUGAUUCAUUUGAUGGGAGCCACGUAAAGCAAUACUGAAGUACCACAGGAGAAGCACACAUGCGAAUGCGAGGAUUCCUUGCUGAAAUGUCGAAAAAAAGCGGCAAAUAAUGCAAUUAUUUAACGAUGAUUGGAAUCAUUUGGAACGAGCAAUGUAAAUGGAGGAUUUAUUCCAAUGGUUGACUUCGGCCGUUGCAACUUAGAUUGGUUAUUAUCAACUCUUAUUUUUGGUCUAAAACCAAUUCGCAACAAACUACCCUAACGCAACAAGAUGGUUGAGAACGUUUCUCAGUGAUUUUGCUUUAUGUUAGUUCUGAUCUGUUUUAAUAUUUGCUUUUCUUUGUAAAUGUGUGGAGUUAUUAGCUUUUAAGGUCUAGAUAAAAAUUACACAGAGAUGAGUGUUGAGGGGGUGGUGGAGGGUAGUAGGAUGUAAAUAUGACAUAAUUUGUUCGGCAGAUUGGGGUAGGUGGUGUUAAUCAAUUCUAACUUGCAUGGGGUAAGGUUUGAAUAGGAAGUUGGGUUAAAUUAGUAAAGUUCCUGACUUUACAUUAAUUAAACAUUUUUUCAUGAAGGCGGCAUUAAAAGCCAGCAAAUUCACCGCGAGACAUGUAAAUUCCCUUACAGUAAAAACUUACCAUUGUAAACCCUAAAGACAACCAGCCAUCUCCUUGUUUUAAUUUGCUUUUUGCAUAGUAUCUUCCUGUGCGAGAGAAAACUAAAAAGUUGUAUCUUAAUUUGAAUUCGCCGCCCAUUUUGAAAUAUGUGGCAACGUUGUUUGAGUUUUUUGAACCGCUAUUAGUCAUCAUUUGCUAGUUCAUUGUCGUGUGUGAAACAUGUGGUUUGCAUCUGACGGGCGAAAUAUUGGACACAUCAGGAAGAAUUGGUGAAGUAAUAUUUCAGUGAAUGUUUCAUCAAGAAAACCUUGUUAACC